rnacentral:rRNA from 1 species
GACGAACGCUGGCGGCGUGCUUAACACAUGCAAGUCGAACGGAAAGGCCCUGCUUGCGGGGUGCUCGAGUGGCGAACGGGUGAGUAACACGUGGGUGAUCUGCCCCUUACUUUGGGAUAAGCCUGGGAAACUGGGUCUAAUACUGGAUAGGACCAUGCUGUAGGUGGUGUGGUGGAAAGAUUAGUUUCGGUAAGGGAUGAGCUCGCGGCCUAUCAGCUUGUUGGUGGGGUAAUGGCCUACCAAGGCGUCGACGGGUAGCCGGCCUGAGAGGGUGGACGGCCACAUUGGGACUGAGAUACGGCCCAGACUCCUACGGGAGGCAGCAGUGGGGAAUAGUGCACAAUGGGCGCAAGCCUGAUGCAGCGACGCCGCGUGGGGGAUGACGGCCUUCGGGUUGUAAACUCCUUUCAGCCAUGACGAAGCCCUUGUGGUGACGGUAGUGGUAGAAGAAGCACCGGCUAACUACGUG